AGUGAACGCUGGCGGUAGGCCUAACACAUGCAAGUCGAACGGCAGCACAGUAAUAGCUUGCUCUUACGGGUGGCGAGUGGCGGACGGGUGAUGAAUACAUCGGAAUCUACUUUUUCGUGGGGGAUAACGUAGGGAAACUUACGCUAAUACCGCAUACGACCUACGGGUGAAAGCAUGGGAUCUUCGGACCUUGCGCGAUUGAAUGAGCCGAUGUCGGAUUAGCUAGUUGGCGGGGUAAAGGCCCACCAAGGCGACGAUCCGUAGCUGGUCUGAGAGGAUGAUCAGCCACACUGGAACUGAGACACGGUCCAGACUCCUACGGGAGGCAGCAGUGGGGAAUAUUGGACAAUGGGCGCAAGCCUGAUCCAGCCAUACCGCGUGGGUGAAGAAGGCCUUCGGGUUGUAAAGCCCUUUUGUUGGGAAAGAAAAGCAGCAGGUUAAUACCCCGCUGUUCUGACGGUACCAAAAGAAUAAGCACCGGCUAACUUCGUG
rnacentral:rRNA from 1 species